AGUGCAGGUAAAAGGCAGAAAUAGGCGGUAGGCAGAGGCAUAGUCGAUACAGUCCAGGUUCAGUUCAUGUGAAAGGCAGAAACAUGGCGGAUAAACAAUGCAGAGGCAUAGUCGAUAAACAGGCCAGGGUCAGUUGAGUUGAGGCACUAGGUUGGUUGGUUGAGGCAGCAGGGAAAUCAGCACAGAAAU